rnacentral:rRNA from 1 species
UACGUAGGGCGCGAGCGUUGUCCGGAAUUAUUGGGCGUAAAGAGCUCGUAGGCGGCCUGUUGCGUCUGCUGUGAAAUCCCGGGGCUCAACCCCGGGCGUGCAGUGGAUACGGGCGGGCUAGAGGCAGGCAGGGGAGAACGGAAUUCCCGGUGUAGCGGUGAAAUGCGCAGAUAUCGGGAAGAACACCCGUGCGAAGGCGGUUCUCUGGGACGGUACUGACGCUGAGACGCGAAAGCGUGGGGAGCAAACAGG